GUUCCUAUUGUCCAAUAAACCUUCCAUUUUACUGGCUGGCUGAGAGUCAGAGUGAAUCCCAGGAAGAGGGGUGCAGGCCCCAGACUCCGCCACACUCUGUAACACCCCCCAUGUGCUCUGAGCUGAGAACUCAGCUGACAGGAGGAAUCCACUUGCACAACUCAUCUUCACGGAGGGAGGGCAGAACAGCCAAUGUCUUUUGUCCUCUUUAAUGUCCCACAAUGGUCUGUCUGGUGUCAAUGCCCCUUCCCUGUUGGACAGGACGUAACACCUUCUGCUGGAAACCAGCACUUCACACCAGUUACUGUCUCUCUCCAGUCUGAUGAUUUACACGGUCACCGAGGCUCACAAUACAACCGCUCAAAUAGUAACAUCUGUAUUCCAUAUUGUAAGGUCCUGCCAUCGCAGCGAGAAAGCCCACGCGUCCCAUGGUAACCGAGGGGACGCUGAUGGUACAUGCAGCCGCUUUGCCCUUUGCUCGACUAUAAACCCCACGUCUCCGGUUGCCCCUCCGGGACAUCUGUCUGGCAAGCUACAGAAGGAAGCAGCUGGCGGCCGUCUCCGAAGUCGGAGGUGCCCAAGGAGGCCUGCAGACAAAUUAGCUGUGACUGGCUCUCCAGACACCUCUUCCCGGGGUGGCCUUUGGUCAUGUUAGCUGGAGGGAGGAGAAACGGCAUUUGGAAGAAGAGUCAAAUGAGAAAAGGGCACCCGCGUGUGCAGGAGGAUGUCGCUGCUGGUGGAUAAGAGGCAUUGGCUGGAAACACACUAGCACGUGAUGUGGCUGUUUGCCUGCUCGGAACUGGGCUGAGAACCUCCCCCGUCCCCGGCACCAGCCAGGGCCCUGUGUUGCUUCUUUAUCGCAGCAGGGCCUGUCAGCUCAUGUGACUGUCCAGAACCCCCCAGGUGCUGGGAGUAAUUAUGACCACGGAUGAAACCUAUCCACUUUCCAGAGACCCAUCAGCUUGGUUGGUGAGAGCAUCCCAGGGUAGCUCUGGUAAUUCAAUCAGAGUCUGUAAUUCGCUAAUGGGCAGGAUCGAUUCUGGGCCGCAGCCGAAAGGGGCUUUGUUUCCAUCGCCCCAGCCCUUUGCCAGCUGGCAAGCUGCUGCCAGGUGAGAAUGACAGAACUUCACCCCCUGGCGUAUUCCUCUGUGGCAGAGCAGAGCGCGCCUUGCUGGAGCCUGUCUGGACCAUAUUCCCCAGGGCCAGGCCAGGAUCCUUCCAUACAAUCCAGGAUCCAGGCCUUUGUCCAGCCUUAAGCGUCCCAAGCGAUGGGGGACUAUUCCACAAUCUAGCACAGAGGUCCCCAAACUGUGGGGUGCGCCCCCCUGGGGGGGGCAUGGAGAAACGUUCGUAGGGCACGACGGGGUCUGGGACAGCCCCCACAGGGGGUGUGGAGGGAGCGCCACCCAGCCCCGCUCCGCUCCCAGCUCUGCUGUGGCCCCAUCCGCGGCUCCUGGUCCCAAUCCCGGCCCCAUAGCCUCAGCCCCGGACCACAGCCCGGCUGUAGCUCUGCACCAGGCCCUGGCCCUGGCCCCAGUCCAGCCCUCAGCCUCUGGCCGCAGCUCCAUUCCCAGCCCCAGUCUCAGCCCUCUUACCCCUGUCUGUGUCUCAGGGGGUGGGGGGAGGAAAAGGGUAUUGAGAGGGGUAAGGGGGGCCAUGACCCUGAAAAGUUUGGGAACCACUGGUUUACCAGAUUUCAUUGUCCGAAAUCAAAGAUGCUGUAGGCGCACUUCAGCCUCUUUAGCAGAUCACUUUUCUCUGAGGUGUCUGGAGCACACGAGCCCUGAAGAAACAUGUCCUUGAGGGCAGUGGCCUUAGCAGGGAGGGCUUGGAUUGAGGCAUGUUUCCAUGGGGACUGUUGUGAUAAUUGGACUGACAAAUUGACCCUAAUGGUGAGCUCAGUUGUAAAAAGUCUAUGAAAGUUCACGAGAUGUCACCAUAACCUAUAAAGGCAAGUGUUGAUGGACAGUAGGGCCAGUAGUGUUGUGUUAUAAGCAGGUGCACAAGAACUGGCUAGAGAGACUGGAUUAGCCCAGAUUAAAAAGAGACCACAUUAUGAUAACUCAAGGACAGUGGUGUUGAAACCAUGCUGGGUAAAAAGAGAAGAUAUGGACCUGGAAAUGAAUAGACCAGCAUUGAUGUGUCAGAUAUUAGGCUUCACGCGUGGACAAAAUAAUGAGGGGCCAGGCUAUUCCACCCACCAUUCCCUUUGUGAGUCCUUCAAGAAAGAGACUUUGGGGAGAGAUUAGGGAAGAACAGAUGGAGGCUGCUGGAGUGAGUGUCACCAUCAUGGCUGCCACCCCCACUGUCUCCUGGGACCCUGGGCCUUUGUCCUCCUGAUCUGGAGGGAUGUCUGGGCCAGACUGGGCCAGAGAGAGGGACCCAGAUGAAUCACCACCUCUGCCGGCUCCAGCUGAAACCCAGCCACCACCUGGGAUGAAACGGGAUCUGACUUUAACAACAGCUCCAAUCCAUCUCAACUCCCUUCUCUUUCCACUCAAGGAUGGUUAUUACCAUCUUUGGUAAGUACUAAGAGACUGUCAGUCAAGGGGCUUUUUCCUUCUGAAAACUCUCUCCAGCUAAAGGCAAAUGGAGCAAGGGAUGGUGUUAAAAUCAAAGCCUGACUCAGUACUUUCCAUUUCAAAUGCUUUCUCUGGUUUUCUUUCUCUUCUGUAUAAUAAAAGGGCAGAAGGACUUUUAGUAAUGUGUUUGCCCUGCUCUGAAGCAGGCUGAAGUCUGUGUACCAAACCUCAGACCUUAUUUACCACUGUUUAAGGUUGGACAGUGCCUGGGUUAUAUUAACAGCUUUGGCUCAUUUAAUCCAUCUAAAUAACUACAACAAGGCCCUCCGCUGAGAUAGUCUUGAUAUGGCCAGCCUUGGCUGAGGUGCCCUUACCUAAGGAGGUCUUAAAGGAAGACCUUUCGCUGACAGGUCAGUGAAGAAAAUGUACAAUAAAGCCAACUUUAAGUAUUCUCCA